UCACUGUGUGAACACACGUUUACUAUUGGGAUAGUGGAAACUCUUACAGUAGUAAACUGCUGCAUCUUCAGCCUGGGCUCCACUGAUGGUGAGAGUGAAGUCGCUCUCAGACCCACUGCCACUGAAUCUAGCAGGAAUCCCAUCUAGCAGUGUCUUUACGUAUCUUAUCAGGAGUUUGGGAGCCUCUCCAGGUCUCUGUUGAUACCAGAAUGCACCCUCCUCUCCACCAUCCCAUUUGUACACUUUAGGGUUGGUUGAACAGGUCAGAGUGACAGGGUCUCCUGUAGAAAAUGUCACUACAGGAGGCUGAGUCACAGUCACCUGACCUCUGGAUCCUGAAGAGGAAAAAUAUUAAUUGAUCAAGAGUAUAAAUAAGAGAAUUUAUAAUAUUUAAUAUUUUAUGCAGGGACAUUUAUUAUUUGAGAUCCAUUUCAAUGAUUAUACAAGGUACUCAACAAUGUAUUUUUCCAUUGUAAGAGUUAGAAAAUAACAGACCUUUGAGGCAGCAGCAGACCAGUGUCCAGAUGAAGAUGGUGAUCAGAGUCAUGGUUAUCGUGGUUUCUGUUUUGUUGAAGGACAGAUCUCAGUCCUGCAGUCUGAAACUCACAGGGCUAUAAACACUCCCAGAGCACUGAAGCAUGAGCUGCCAAUGCAAAGCACCUUCUCUAUGGAAAUAAACUCAGCAAAAAGAAACAUCCCUUUUUCAUGGCCAGCGAAGAGCCCGGAUCUCAAUCCCAUUGAGCACGUCUGGGACCUGUUGGAUCGGAGGGUGAGGGCUUGGGCCAUUCCCCCCAGAAAUGUCCUGGAACUUGCAGGUGCCUUGGUGGAAGAGUGGGAUAACAUCUCACAGCAAGAACUGGCAAAUCUGGUGCAGUCCAUGAGGAGGAGAUGCACUGCAGUACUUAAUGCAGCUGGUGGCCACACCAGAUACUGACUGUUACUUUUGAUUUUGACCCCCCUUUUGUUCAGGGACACAUUAUUAUAUUUCUGUUAAUCACGUCUGUGGAACUUGUUCAGUUUUUGUCUCAGUUGUUGAAUCUUGUUAUGUUCAUACAAAUAUUUACACAUGUUAAUUUUGCUGAAAAUAAACACAUUUGACAGUGAGAGGAUGUUUAUUUUGUUUGCUGAGUUUACCCUACCUCAGGACAGUAAUAAACUGAAAAUAAUAAUCAUGUGAAUUGCUUUAUAUUUCGUUUGUUGACAGUAAAAUAGCUCAAUUGUCAAUAUUGAUAUUUGUUGUAAAUUACAAUGUUUCACUCUGCCCAUAUGCAAUAUGAUAACAUAUGACAUCAUUGGAUGAAAAAACAUUUUGAAGUGAGUUUGGGUGAAGAGACUUUAAAGAGAUUCAAAUCAGAGACUUCAUUAAUCAGAGUAUGCUAUAUAGGUACAUAAAGUUCUUAAUUAUUGUGGUUGUCCCACCUUUUUUUAUUUUUUUUAUUUUUUGUUAUCCGUUAUUUUACCAGGUAAGUUGACUGAGAACACGUUCUCAUUUGCAGCAACGACCUGGGGAAUAGUUACAGGGGAGAGGAGGGGGAUGAAUGAGCCAAUUGUAAACUGGGGAUUAUUAGGUGACCGUGAUGGUUUGAGGGCCAGAUUGGGAAUUUAGCCAGGACACCGGGGUUAACACCCCUACUCUUACGAUAAGUGCCAUGGGAUCUUUAAUGACCUUAGAGAGUCAGGACACCCGUUUAACGUCCCAUCCGAAAGACGGCACCCUACACAGGGCAGUGUACCCAAUCACUGCCCUGGGGCAUUGGGAUAUUUCUUUAGACCAGAGGAAAGAGUGCCUCCUACUGGCCCUCCAACACCACUUCCAGCAGCAUCUGGUCUCCCAUCCAGGGACUGACCUAGCUAUCUUAAGAUGAAUGCACAGAGAUGCUGCUAAAUGACUCAAAUGUAAUGCAAAUGUAAUAAUUUCAAAUGAAUAUUACUUGCUAUAAUAUUUCCUAUAUCAAGGGUGUCAAAUACUGAUAGUGUAAUUGUAUGUAGAGAUGUGUAAUGCUUUAUGAGUACAGUAAAUCUCUACAAAGCUGUGUGGAGCUAUAUGAGUGGUUCUGUUAGUGCAGGGUGAGCUCACUCUUGUGUGAAGGAGGUUUUUGUACGGCGUCUUAACUAGACUGUAUCAUUGUGGUACACGUUCGGUGGAGGGACCAAACUGCUGCUGAAAACUGGUCCUACUGUCAGUCCCACAGUGUCUCUGCUCCCCCCCUCCUCUGAGCAGCUCUCUGGGGGCUCUGCCUCACUGGCCUGCCUGCUGACUGACUACUCCCCUCAGGGGGCGCUGGUGAGCUGGGAGGUGGACGGGCUGGAGGUGAGCCAGGGGGUUGUGACCAGUCCAGAAGAAGAGAAGGAAGGCCUUUACAGACGCAGCAGCACCCUGACCCUGAGCAAGGCAGGCUGGGAGCAGGGAGAGCUCUACACCUGCAGGGUCUCCCACUUCCAACACACCCAGGCCUCCCCUCUUCGCAGGAGCCAGUGUCUGGUCUAGGACCUAGUGGAGGAGGCCCACAACAGGAGCUCUGUCUGGGGAAGCAGGAAUAGACGAGGCUCUGGUCUGGUCUGUGGCCUGGUUGGAGCAGUAGUAGUGUGUUAGAGUAGUGUACUGAGUAAACUCUAGUACUGCUGGGGAGACCACAGUCUGGGUAGUAAUGUGUAUUGUAUAGAGUACAGGAGACUUCUAUGUGUUCUGUACUCAGACUGUUACUGUGAUGUUGCUGUUUGUCUCAGUUCUAAUAAAGUUGGAUUUGAAAAUAA